rnacentral:lncRNA from 1 species
ACUCGCUAGCGGUUUGACAGAGCUUCUCAGCCCGACGACGAGUUCACCAUGACCAGAGGAGUCGUAAAGUUUCGAACUUGAGUUCGUUUCAAUCAUCAUCGAGAGCUCCUCAGCUCCUCUGGUUCCAGUCAAGUCUUCCCAAGUCUGCAACAAUGUUUGGAUCAAGACUCCGAUGGUUCUCGCCUCCGUCUAUACGUCUUGUUUCUUCAUCAAUACACGGAGAGAAAAAGAAAAGAGUGAUCUUGAGUCAAUCACCUCGUCACCAAUUCAACGAACAGAGAAAACCCUGAGAUAAGAAGAGUUCAAUCAUCUCGACAUCUCAAGACAAAUAGAGACAUCCCUGAGAUAAGAAGAGUUCAAUCAUCUUGACAUCUCAAGACAAUCAUCCCGCCAAGAUCCUCGGCAAAGAUGUGGAAUUAGGCAAGCCACGUUCUCG